CUACUCCUCUGUGUAGUGGUUAUGGUGCCAGGAGUGUCGGCACCCCCUCCCAGAGUAAGUAGUCAAACCGUUUAAGAACAGUUUGACAACUAACCUGGAGUCUGCUGUGAUAUGGGGCUGUAGUAGGGUAUAGGAGCAGUGGUGCAAUGUGUGAGGGGUGCAAUGUGUGUGAAAGGUUCAGUGUGUGGGUGUGGGGGGCAGUGUGUGAAUGUGUAUGGUGUGUGUGG